ACUUCCGCGUCACCCCUCCUCAGCCCUCUGAACUCUGCGCUUGGACUUGGUGUGACUUCCCUUCCCCGCCUAUUCUCUAGAGGCAGUCUCUUGGUGACUCCUGGUUUGGGUCAGGGCACGCCUUAGGUCUCUGGAUGGCUACCAACCCCAGGUUCCCUCAGCUCUAGCCCCAUAAGAGAGGAGGCCUCAGGAGCGCCUAGGGCAGCCCUUUCAGCCUGGGCUGUGGGAAGGGAAGGUGGACAGAGAGGAGACCCCAUGCCUUUGUUCCCUGUUGAUGCAGAAGCAUUCUAGGCUCUGUCCCUUAUUCCUGCUGUGGGCUGAAGCUUCAGGCAAGGUGCUCUACAAACUUCAGUUGCCUCAUCUAUCAAACAGUAACGUUUAACAUUCCAGAGACAGAAGUUGAUCUUUGGGACUUUUUUUGAUUUUAAGAUCUAGGCUGGCUGGGGCGGUGGCUCAUGCCUGUAAUCCCAGCACUUUGAGAGGCCGAGACCGGUGGAUCACGAGAUCAUCAGGAGAUGAGACCAUCCUGGCUAACAUGUUAGCCUGGCCUCCAGAGCUCUUGGACUGCAGCACCCAUAAUGAUGGCCAAAGCCGCCCCCACGGCGACUCCUCCUGCUGAAGCAAAGUCAGGCAGAACAAUAAGAUGAGCAUGGUGGUGCAGGCCUGUAAUCUCAGCUCCUCAGGCGGGAGGAUCACUUGAUCCCCGGAAGUUUGAAGCUGGACUGCGCUGACCGCACCUGUGAAUACCACUGCCCGUCAAUCAGCCUAGGGGAAACAUUCUCGAGUGCGAGCAUGACGGCUUAGGUUGAUGUUUUUCAAAUUUUCCCAAUGAUGAGUAUUGUAAGGGACCAAAAUAAAAAAAUGCCAAUGCCUAGUCCCC
rnacentral:lncRNA from 1 species